CUUAAUGGCCGAUUUCAACUCACUAUCGUUUAACCUCCUUAGCGGUAAUCCCAAUUGUGGUUCGGGGUCACAUUACACUGCAAGCAGCGGUAACACCGAGCAACACUCGGGACCACCAUGAGUUAAUUUGAACGGCGCAGGGAUGCGGACAGCACACAUUUCCGGAGAGUGGCGCGAACUUCCGGCCGCAGCUCCGGAAGUUUGUACCGCUCCGGGUACAAAAUAAAAUAUCAUACCACCAGGGAGGUUAAACAAAAACGAGUGCAAAUGAUCGUUCACAAUGGCAGAUGAAAAAAUGUGAUCGGCCACGUUGAAAAAUUUUGGCUUUUGUCAGAAACUGCACGACCAGGGGUACGUUUAAAAAAAAAAAAAAAACACGUCCUAGUCAGCCAUUUUAGUCUGGCAUGUUGCUGGUGGGAUGAUUUCUGCAAACAAUCCCAUUGAUGACUAAUUGACUGCAGUGCGGCUGGUCAACUUAAGGCAAUAGGGACCAGGCUAUAUGCAUUAUAAGGGCCCCACGUGGUAACUGCACCAGUCCGAUCAUCCUCCUCCAGUGAUGUGAGGUUUAAAGCAUCGCAAUAAAUCGAUUUAUCUAUUUGAGCAUCUUGAUAAUUUUCUACUUUUAGAACCAAAUGUAAAUGCGCAUCCAGAUCUAGCAAGGGCACAGUGGAUCAGCCUAGCAAAGUGUGCUCAAUUGUGGCCCUCAUAGAUCAGCAGUAUGUCUCAUAGGCCAUAAUGUAUGUAUACAGGGGAUAUAUACAGGUGCCAGCUGUAGCUCCUCGGACAGGUCAGGGCUACACAACAACUUCAAUCGGUGCAAUAUUAGUCACACAACAGAUAAAUCGGAAGUUAAUGGGGAGUCAAGGCAGUUGCUCAACUUUCCCCAUUUUUCACCGAUAAAGUGCGAGUCCACCAGGGAUAAUUGCACAGCACGAUUCCGAAUCACAUCACCAUGCAAAGCAACAACAAAAAAGGUUUAGUCUCGUAGAAAAGAACUGGAGUUACCAUUUUUGGCCACAAGGGGGAGUCUCUCUUUCUCCACUUGCUCCCUGUUCAUGUCUUACAGGAGAAAUUUAAAUUUACUGGUAAAACUUGUUUAUAGAAAUGAUGUUUUUUUUGUUUGUUUUUUUACUUCAGAUACGAGUGAGACCCCGCGGUCUCCCAUUUAACACUUUAUUCCAUAUUCUCUUAGUUUACGUUCAUUGCUCGGUUGAGGACUGCAAUGGGUCAAAGCCAAUGCUCUUACUGUAUAUAUUGUCAUUUUGCAGAGGGGGAGAAGCACAAACAAGCCGGGAGUUGGGCGAUUAUUUGCCUCAUUUAUGAAGCGUCCGCUCGGAGCGGUUCUGGUUUUGUAUGGGACUGAUUUGCAUCUAUCACUGAUUUGCAUAAUGUAACUUAUAUAAGAUGUUCUAUGAUACGUUGUUUAAGGCAAACACUUAAUCUUAAGUUUGUAAUAUAUAAAGCUGUAACGAUUCAUAUUUAAGCAGGUUAUAAUGAUUAAAAAAAUGAAUAUUACUGUUCAGCUAAUUAAACCGUUAUUUUUUAAUGA